rnacentral:sRNA from 1 species
UCCGUAAAAGAUUGAAUUACAAAUAAAUGGAAAUGAUAUUUCUUUUUUUAAUUAUGAUAAUGACAAGAAAAUAUUUUGAUUAAUGCAUAUUUUAAUUGUCACUGACUUCCCAUAGAAAUGU